GAUGAACGCUGGCGGCGUGCCUAAUACAUGCAAGUCGAGCGAACGUACGAGAAGCUUGCUUCUCUUAUGUUAGCGGCUGACGGGUUAGUAACACGUGGGUAACCUACCUAUAAGACUGGGAUAACUUCGGGAAACCGGAGCUAAUACCUGAUAAUAUUGUGAACCGCAUGGUUCAAAAGUGAAAGACGGUCUUGCUGUCACUUAUAGAUGGAUCCGCGCUGCAUUAGCUAGUUGGUAAGGUAACGGCUUACCAAGGCAACGAUGCAUAGCCGACCUGAGAGGGUGAUCGGCAACACUGGAACUGAGACAAGGUCCAGAAUCCUACGGGAGGCAGCGGUAGGGAAUCUUCCGCAAUGGGCGAACGCCUGACGGAGCAACGCCGCGUGAGUGAUGAAGGGCUUCGGAUCGUAAAACUAUGUUAUUAGGGAAGAACAUAUGUGUAAGUAAAUGUGCACAUCUUGACGGUACCUAAUCAGAAAGCCACGGCUAACUACGUG
rnacentral:rRNA from 1 species